rnacentral:rRNA from 1 species
GACGAACGCUGGCGGCGUGCUUAACACAUGCAAGUCGAACGGAAAGGCCCUGCUUUUGUGGGGUGCUCGAGUGGCGAACGGGUGAGUAACACGUGAGUAACCUGCCCUUGACUUUGGGAUAACUUCAGGAAACUGGGGCUAAUACCGGAUAUGAGCUCCUGCUGCAUGGUGGGGGUUGGAAAGUUUCGGCGGUUGGGGAUGGACUCGCGGCUUAUCAGCUUGUUGGUGGGGUAGUGGCGUACCAAGGCUUUGACGGGUAGCCGGCCUGAGAGGGUGACCGGCCACAUUGGGACUGAGGUACGGCCCAGACUCCUACGGGAGGCAGCAGUGGGGAAGAUUGCACAAUGGGCGGAAGCCUGAUGCAGCAACGCCGCGUGCGGGAUGACGGCCUUCGGGGUGUAAACCGCUUUCGCCUGUGACGAAGCGUGAGUGACGGUAAUGGGUAAAGAAGCACCGGCUAACUACGUG